AGAGGGUUAAGAAAUAAAUAUUUUUUUGACACUAUAAAGUGAUGAAAUAAUUCCUAUUUCUAGAUUCAUAAAAAAGAUAUGGUUAAAGUUUAUAUGUUAAUUUAUGGGGUGAUUAUCUUUUUUUCCAUAUUUAUUUCUACAAUAAAUUGUGCUGUGAUUGCCUGCGAAGAACAUGUGGGUUGUCUAAGUUAUAAGUGUACCCUUCCUGCUGUUCCACUCUGCUCGUUUUCAGUUUCAAAGCCAGAAGGAUUUGGGAUAUGUAGAUGUUUCCGGAAGAUCACAGUGCACAAUAGUGGCUUGUGAAUGUCUGAAGAAGCGAUCUGGAGCUUGCAUUGAAGGACAUUUUCAAAAUAGGGAUCCAGAUUCAUAUAGGGAAGGUGACGAUGAUGAUGACGGUGGCUAUGACUAUCUCCUGCCGCUUAAAAUCAAAGAUUUCUUAAACGUGUUUUAUGCGGAAUUUUGGUCUAAGUCCACUGGAAAAAUGCAAAUUUCUAGUAGUGGAAUGUGUUACCUAACUAAAGUUAGCUAAUAGUAAUAGUAUUGUUAACAAAAUGUAUGCUGCAAAUCUUUGUUUAUUCAAAAGGCUAAUUAUGGUCAUAGAACAGUCUUGAGCUAGCAUGUUUUAAUUUCCCAUUUGAGCAUUAGGCUAUGUCAAUUGUGAAAUGGGUUAAUUUUUGUUUUUUUGAA